rnacentral:rRNA from 1 species
GGUUGAUCCUGCCAGUAGUCAUAUGCUUGUCUCAAAGACUAAGCCAUGCAUGUCUAAGUAUAAACGGUUAUACAGUGAAACUGCGGAUGGCUCAUUAAAUCAGUUAUAGUUUAUUUGAUAGUACCUUCUACUUGGAUAACUGUAGAAAAGCUAGAGCUAAUACAUGCGAAAGAUCCUGACUGGGGUAAAACCUGGAAGGGAUGUAUUUAUUAGAUGUAGAAACCAAUACGGGGUUUCGGCCCCGGACCCAUUGGUGAAUCAUGAUAACUUUGCGGAUCGCAUGGCCUUGCGC